ACUUCUUCAUUGCCCCGCUGGGUUGGAAAGGCACCCACAUCCUCUCGAACCCCAAAGGCGGAAGUCUGCAGCGGUAGGGUUGCUGCUGCGGUCAAGCCAAAGAAUUCAGGUGUCCUUGGUUGCGUCUUGUGUAUUUGGAUAGCGCAAACAAAGGCGGGGUAACGGCAAGCUGCGGUUUCACCUGCAAUUGUUAAAGAAUUAAAAGCAAGAGUUGAGUGACCCUACAAUCAAUACUUCCAACGAUUUAGGCCUUAUAACCAUCUGAACUUUGCACGUUGCAGGACCCAUGAAGGCAGUGUCUGUUUAGGCACUUCUAUGUUUCCAGUACCUGGACCUUGAUUUGCUGGAUGCAUGAGUGAAUAAAUACACAAUGUGGAAACUGA